rnacentral:rRNA from 1 species
UGGGGAAUUUUGCGCAAUGGGCGAAAGCCUGACGCAGCAACGCCGCGUGCGGGACGAAGGCCUUCGGGUUGUAAACCGCUUUCGACAGGAACGAAAUUGACGGUACCUGUAGAAGAAGCCCCGGCCAACUACGUGCCAGCAGCCGCGGUAAUACGUAGGGGGCAAGCGUUGUCCGGAUUUAUUGGGCGUAAAGAGCUCGUAGGCCGUUCGGUAAGUCAGAUGUGAAAACUCCAGGCUCAACUUGGAGACGCCAUCUGAUACUGCCGUGACUUGAGUCCGGUAGGGGAGCACGGAAUUCCUGGUGUAGCGGUGAAAUGCGCAGAUAUCAGGAGGAGCACCAGCGGCGAAGGCGGUGCUCUGGGCCGGUACUGACGCUGAGGAGCGAAAGCGUGGGGAGCAAACAGGAUUAGAUACCCAAGUAGUCCCUGAGCGGGCUGGCAAGGCGCAU